ACACGCAUGACACACUGCAUAUCAAUAAGCGGAGGAAAAGAAACUAACAAGGAUUCCCUUAGUAACGGCGAGUGAAGCGGGAAGAGCUCAAAUUUGAAAUCUUCAAGGUUCUACCUUGACGAAUUGUAGUUUAUAGAAGUGUUUUCUGUUAGUAGAGUGGCAAAAGUUCUUUGGAAUAGGACAUCAUAGAGGGUGAGAAUCCCGUAUUUGGUCAUUCUUUCUAGCUUUGUGAUACACUUUCAACGAGUCGGAUUGUUUGGGAAUGCAGUCCAAAAUGGGUGGUAAAUUUCAUCUAAAGCUAAAUAUUGGCGAGAGACCGAUAGCGAACAAGUACCGUGAGGGAAAGAUGAAAAGAACUUUGAAAAGAGAGUUAAACAGUACGUGAAAUUGUCAAAAGGGAAGCGUUUGACACCAGUGUUGUUUUUCCGAAAAUCAAUUACGAAUGUUUUAUUUUUGAGAAGUUAUGACUUCAUCGGCUUGCUUCUCUCUUUACGAAACUUUCUUAAUGCACUUUUCGGUUAACAAGUCAACAUCAAUUUCUUUUGUUGUAAAAGGGUCAUUGGAAGGUGGCUUUCUUUUCGGAGAAAGUGUUUAUAGCCUUUGAUCCCUGCAGUCGGAGAGACAGAGGUCUGCAGCGUAGAUCCUUCGGGGUUAGAUACAUUUGUGCUAAGUUAUAGCUUUUUAUAGACAACUUGUUGACUAUAUUUAGUCUUGUAGCUUACUCGCUGACGCUAUUUUACCUACGCUUAGGAUGUUGAGCGCAUGUCUCUCUCU
rnacentral:rRNA from 1 species